CAAGGACUGAGAGGAAAGCGGAAAUGACCUAACUGUAAAAGCUCCUGUUGUUAUUGUUGACAUAAGGACACUAGGCGUGAUCCCCGUGUGUCCCCCUGCUGCCAGGGCACCACAGAAGAAGGGACUCACUCGUGGUACAUGUCUCCCCUGAGCAGAAAAGAGCAUGACAGCAUCUGGAUCAAAGCAACUCUGUUCCUGGAGCCUGCGCCGAGCUGCAGGCUGGGAUGGCACGCCAGGCGAAGGACCUCUUUCCCCCAGGAGGGGCUGUGUUCUUCACUCCUCCUCCCCAGGCCCAGGUGGUGGCCAUGGGGAAGGCAGUGAACACUAAAAGGAUGAAAAGCACAGGGAAAAAAUGGACAAGGGAAAACUACGCCAAAUGGAAAGUGACCAAAUGAAGAAAAGAGCAAAUGAAGUGUAAUUCUGCUCCCACAGUGGAGAAGCAGCUGAACCCACUGCUUCUCUUGUGCAGCCCAUAGCAAGCGGCUUUCUCCAGGCUCGGCCAGAGGAAGGGGGUGGCAGGACAGAAGGCACUCGCUUAGAGCCAGUUACCAAGAGGGCAUCACCUGGAACUUCAGAGAUGUCUGCGUGUCACAGGAGAGCCUGUACAUAAAUUAAAGUAGUCAUGACAACCUUGAUAUUGCACUUGUACAUAACUAUACAGUAGUCCAGAAUGUUCAGACAUUCAGAGUGUACAUAAAACAGAAAAGUAUCUAAAUGUAUUUUUAUUAAAUUUACGGCAUCUGAGUUUCACCCAAUGUGUGUUUGUGCCACAUACUGGAUAUCCAAGUUCAGAGAAGUCCUCUUGUUAGGCCCUGAAGCUCUGAUAACAAAGCCAGAAAGGGCGCCCCAUCAUGCCGAUGUGCUCAAAUGCAUCUGGUACCAAUGGGAUAACGCUGAGAACCCGGGUCGUCUGUCAGUACACAUGGAAGCCGGCAGUGAGUUCGUGUAAACAGCAGUACGUGAGGAGACUCGAAGGCAGUGGGAAUCUGUCACUAUUGUUGGCUCAGCAAGAGCAUUGUGCAUCAAUCUGUCAGCCUCUGGGUGCUGUGGGGCCAGAACAGCCAGUUUUAUCAUGAGAAAUGUUUCUCUAAGUCUUUCAGUUCAAAGAUUAUACAUGUAGAAUCAGAUUUUCUGAAAAGGGGUUUUCCAGGCUGCAUUUUGUUGUGGUUUUGUCUAAAUUUUUAGUGAUCACUUCCAAGGACCAUAGUUUACUGUACUGGAAACUGUAGGUGGGAGUGGGGUGGUUAGUUGAUACAUAGCUCCUGCUUCCCCAUGGAGAACUGCACACACCCUGCCCUCCUGCCCUCUCCUACUCCCUUAUACACACAGCUUAGGCAGAAGUCUGUGCUUCUCUCUGAGGAUCGCCUCCAAAAGGUGGGAGGAGGUGUGGAGAGAAGGCAACUCCUACUUCCCUGGGCUAUGCCGGAGGAAAAGCAGCUUGGGAUCGAGGACUGGCAGCAAAAGGGAAACAUGGGAAUAUCUGUGGUGAGGCCUGAGGUGCAAGAUUAGAGACACCAGAAAAUCUGGGGCAAAUGAAGAGACUAGAGCACCAUCAGAAAAAGUCAUUUUACCUUCAGUGCAAGUCUUACUCCUGCAUUUGCAUUUGGGUAGGGGUGGGAAUGAUUCACGUCCUUGGCGGGGGCGGGGGGGGGGGGGUGGUCCUUGUCAUGAACACAUUCGAUCCUUCCGUUUCAUUCAUCCAGUCAACAAAUAUUCACUAAGCACUUACUAACAACCUAAGCUAAUGCUAGGGCAGUGACCACGAUGAAAAAGAAGCUCCAGAAUUACAACAGAAUCCAGUUCCCAAACCCAUCAUCCAGAUCUUUCCUUAGGGAUUCUGUGAGAAUUGGCCAUCCUGAGAACAGGCCCAGGAAGGCAGAAGGACUGUCCUCGGCUGUGCACCAGCUCUCAGUCCGAAAUGUUUACCAGUGUACCAAACUCGGCCUCAGAAGUCAUGGUGAUGGUUUGUAGAUAGCUAGGCCCGCCAGGAGACAUGUCCCUGAGUGGUUCAAACUAAUAAACACCCUUGCCUGCAGGGAAACGAUCUGGAGAGCAGAUGAAAACUGGCGCCUUCUCUUUUAAAGGCAAUAAUGGAAGUGACUUCCAGUAACUGAAUUUGGGCACAAAACAUUCUGAACACUAGUGAAGCCUGUUUCAUUGAACUAAUUCUGGCUUUGAAAAUGUUUUGUUCUGUAGUUAUUUACGUUUUUGUUUGUUUAGAUUCAAGCUUAGUUUGUUAAUAUGUAUAAUUUAGCAUUUAUUGCACUCAUGUAAAUAUGGAGUAAGUAUUGUAAACUAUUUCAUUGCUGAGGAUUGUGGGUACUAUACAUACAUUUAAGGACUGCAAUUUUUUGGUAUUUUUUGUAUUGUAAAAUAACAGCUAAUUUAAGCAGGAACAAGAGAAUUAAGGGAGGUCUGCAUUUUAAACACAAAUGUGAAGAACUUGUACAUAAACAAAAGUAAAUACUAUACUACAAACUUCCUUCUGAAAUAAAAGUAGAUCUGGUAAAAAUGGG